rnacentral:rRNA from 1 species
UACGUAGGGUGCAAGCGUUUGUCCGGAAUUAUUGGGCGUAAAGAGCUCGUAGGCGGUUUGUCGCGUCGAAUGUGAAAAACCCGGGGCUCAACCCCGGGCCUGCAUUCGAUACGGGCAGACUAGAGUUCGGUAGGGGAGAUUGGAAUUCCUGGUGUAGCGGUGGAAUGCGCAGAUAUCAGGAGGAACACCAAUGGCGAAGGCAGAUCUCUGGGCCGUAACUGACGCUGAGGAGCGAAAGCAUGGGGGAGCGAACAGG